UGAGCCAAGUUUAGGGUUUCUUAAAAACCCAAGCAGUAUUGAACUGAAGAGUUUGAUCAUGGCUCAGAUUGAACGCUGGCGGCAGGCCUAACACAUGCAAGUCGAGC
rnacentral:rRNA from 1 species